rnacentral:rRNA from 1 species
CGCASCCAGGUGRARAAGAAUARCAGACAUGAGAGGGUGCUCGGCCACAUUGGGWGAGAGACACGGCCCAAAMUCCUACGGRAGGCAGCAGUAGGGAAUCUUSGGCAAUGGAYGAAAGUYUGRCCUAGCAACACCGCGUGAGUGAAGAAGGUUUUCGGWUCGUAAAACUCUGUUGUUAGAGAAGAACAAGRAUGAGAGUAACUGUUCAUCCCUUGACGGUAUCUAACCAGAAAGCCACGGCUAACUACGUGCCAGCAGCCGCGGUAAUACGUAGGUGGCAAGCGUUGUCCGGAUUUAUUGGGCGUAAAGCGAGCGCAGGCGGUUUCUUAAGUCUGAUGUGAAAGCCCCCGGCUCAACCGGGGAGGGUCAUUGGAAACUGGGAGACUUGAGUGCAGAAGAGGAGAGUGGAAUUCCAUGUGUAGCGGUGAAAUGCGUAGAUAUAUGGAGGAACACCAGUGGCGAAGGCGGCUYCKGUCUGUAACKACGCKAGGYGAAGCUGARGCASCAA